GCCGGGCAUGGUGGCGCAUGCCUGUAAUCCCAGCACUUUGGGAGGCUGAGGCAGGUGGAUUACCUGAGGUCAGGAGUUCAAGACCAGCCUGGUCAACAUGAUGAAACCCUGUCUCUA
ensembl:misc_RNA Metazoa_SRP Metazoan signal recognition particle RNA